rnacentral:tRNA from 1 species
GGUGCUGUGGCUUAGUGGGUAAAGCCACUGCCUGUGGUGCUAGCAUCCCAUAUGGGCUCCGGUUCGAGUCCUGGCUGCUCCA